GGGGAAACGAAAUAACUCAAAAUUGAGAUAAAAAAUACCUAAAACUAAGUUCUCUCACAACUCUCCUUGUUUGGAUACAUUAUGUUCUUAGCUUUAGUUAUUUUAAACUCAAUCUUCAGGUUAUCCGAAAAAACUUACUUUUGAGUUAUUUGAUACUUGUGGAUUUGAAGUUGUUUUCAUUCCCGAUAAUGAAAGUAUCCAAAAUCAAGUGCUGGUGCAGUACUUGAUUUUGGAUGAAAAAUUCAAUCGAGCGCCAUUUGUAUUUCGGAGUUAGUGCUUUUAUCGCUCAGGUGCAUAAAAAACUAUUUGGUAAGAGUAUAUUUUGAUGUUUUGGUCGCUUUAUAAAGAAAGUUAAAGUCGUUUAUUUUACAGGAUGCUGAUUCGUUUGUGUUUUCAAGUGCGGAAGGCCUGUCAUGUUCCAGGUUUCGUCACACCGAUUGUCUCUGCAAUUUUCGAAUCUGAUAUGAGUGUCUACUAGCAGCUUAUCAAAUUUUAAUCCACUUCCAGCCAUACACCAUAAAUCCGACGACCGAUAGCAUAGCGAAUUAAAAACUAAAUUCAUGACGGACCACAAUCAAAACACCCGAUGGAUGAAGCAUCCGGACAACAACGUAACAACGGAGGAAUAUAACCGUGAUUGAAUAGUGUUAAAUUGUGUCGUUACCUUGCCUAUGUAAUUUGACUAUGAAUUAAUAAAAUGUGAUUUGAUGCCAAA